AAAUUGAAGAGUUUGAUCAUGGCUCAGAUUGAACGCUGGCGGCAGGCCUAACACAUGCAAGUCGAACGGUAACAGGAAGCAGCUUGCUGCUUCGCUGACAAGUGGCGGACGGGUGAGUAAUGUCUGGGAAACUGCCUGAUGGAGGGGGAUAACUACUGGAAACGGUGGCUAAUACCGCAUAACGUCGCAAGACCAAAGAGGGGGACCUUCGGGCCUCUUGCCAUCAGAUGUGCCCAGAUGGGAUUAGCUAGUUGGUGAGGUAACGGCUCACCAAGGCGACGAUCCCUAGCUGGUCUGAGAGGAUGACCAGCCACACUGGAACUGAGACACGGUCCAGACUCCUACGGGAGGCAGCAGUGGGGAAUAUUGCACAAUGGGCGCAAGCCUGAUGCAGCCAUGCCGCGUGUAUGAAGAAGGCCUUCGGGUUGUAAAGUACUUUCAGCGGGGAGGAAGGUGUUGUGGUUAAUAACCACAGCAAUUGACGUUACCC
rnacentral:rRNA from 1 species